AAGCCAACCAAUUAAUCUGCUAAUCUGAAUGCGUUUCUGCAGAAAUUUACAAAAAGCUGGCAAGAGUGAGACCAUGUUACCAGCAAUAAGGACAACUUAGUUCAUUAAGGUCCUUGAAAAUGAUUACAAUA
ensembl:snoRNA